rnacentral:rRNA from 1 species
AUUGAACGCUGGCGGCAGGCCUAACACAUGCAAGUCGAACGGUAACAGGAAGCAUCUUGCUGCUUCGCUGACGAGUGGCGGACGGGUGAGUAAUGUCUGGGAAGCUGCCUGAUGGAGGGGGAUAACUACUGGAAACGGUAGCUAAUACCGCAUAAUGUCGCAAGACCAAAGAGGGGGACCUUCGGGCCUCUUGCCAUCGGAUGUGCCCAGAUGGGAUUAGCUUGUUGGUGGGGUAACGGCUCACCAAGGCGACGAUCCCUAGCUGGUCUGAGAGGAUGACCAGCCACACUGGAACUGAGACACGGUCCAGACUCCUACGGGAGGCAGCAGUGGGGAAUAUUGGACAAUGGGCGCAAGCCUGAUGCAGCCAUGCCGCGUGUAUGAAGAAGGCCUUCGGGUUGUAAAGUACUUUCAGCGGGGAGGAAGGGAGUAAAGUUAAUACCUUUGCUCAUUGACGUUACCCGCAGAAGAAGCACCGGCUAACUCCGUG